CCGGGAUCAUUUGUUCUGUUCCGGUUGUUACAACUGCUGCAGGUUUCUCCCCUCGCCUGGAUGUUCCGGACCUUUUCCUGUUGCUGGACACGCCUCUUCAUAUUUGAAAGAUGAACUCCAGAAACUGUCCAGGCCUGUUUUUCCACAUAUUCUCAAAACACCAUGUCUAAAACCGAUGGAUGUCCGGUCCUGGGAGCUGAGAGGACUCCUGCUGGAUGGUGGCUCCAUCCCACUGUCCCAUUAGCAGCCCCCCAGGGAGACUGAGACCUGGAAUCCGGGGAGACAGACCCAGAUUAGCUCAUAAAUCACUGCCCUGGGGACCGAGGAAAAAACCGUGACAUCAUCACUAUGAGACUCUACGUCCUGUGAUCCAGCUGGCCGUGCAGUCAGCAGCAGUCGCUCUCAGCUGAUAAGAGUUGGCAGCAGUCUGUGUUAAAACACAUUCCACCCAAAACUGCCCGGGUUACUUUUUGUAUCAUCUGAGUGUUUUUGUCACUGACUUAAUGUCUUGAAUUUGUCUAAGAAACGGAAAUGACACCGUUUAUUUUUCUUGUUCAUUCUAGAAAUAAACCAGCCGUGCUGUUAGGUAUGCAUUAAAA